rnacentral:rRNA from 1 species
GACGAACGCUGGCGGCGUGCUUAACACAUGCAAGUCGAACGGAGAUUAUUAAUGAAGCUUGCGAUUUAAUAAUCUUAGUGGCGGACGGGUGAGUAACGCGUGGGCAACCUACCCAUAAGCGGGGGAUAACAGUUGGAAACGACUGCUAAUACCGCAUAAGCUAUUGAGGUCGCAUGACCUAAAUAGUAAAGGUGGCGAAAGCUAUCACUUAUGGAUGGGCCCGCGUCUGAUUAGCUAGUUGGUGGGAUAGCAGCCUACCAAGGCAACGAUCAGUAGCCGGCCUGAGAGGGUGGACGGCCACACUGGGACUGAGACACGGCCCAGACUCCUACGGGAGGCAGCAGUGGGGAAUAUUGCGCAAUGGGGGAAACCCUGACGCAGCGACGCCGCGUGAGCGAAGAAGGCCUUAGGGUCGUAAAGCUCUGUUGUAAGGGACGAAUGUUUAUCUGGCGACAGUCAGAUAAAGUGACGGUACCUUACCAAGCAAGCCCCGGCUAACU